UACGUAGGUGGCAAGCGUUACUCGGAAUCACUAGGCGUAAAGCGCAGGUAGGAGGUUUGGUAAGUCUGUUGUGAAAGCUCCCGGCUUAACUGGGAGAGGUCAACGGAAACUACUAGGCUAGAGUGCGGUAGAGGUAGCUGGAAUUCCCGGUGUAGCGGUGAAAUGCGUAGAUAUCGGGAGGAAUACCUAUGGCGAAAGCAGGCUACUGGACCGUCACUGACUCUGAUCUGCGAAAGCUAGGGGAGCGAAUGGG
rnacentral:rRNA from 1 species